rnacentral:rRNA from 1 species
UUGAUCCUGGCUCAGAACGAACACUGGCGGCGUGGAUUAGGCAUGCAAGUCGAGCGGGAUCCUGUUGAUUCAAUCCUUCGGGAGAGAAACUUCAGGUGAGAGCGGCGAACGGGUGAGUAAUAUAUGGGUAAUUUGCCCUGGAGCUCGGGAUAGCCAUUCGAAAGGGUGGGUAAUACCGAAUGUGCUCGCCCCGCACCUGCGGGGUUAUGUAAAGGUGGGGAUCUUCGGACCUGCCACUCCUGGAUAAGCCCAUAUCCUAUCAGCUUGUUGGUGAGGUAACAGCUCACCAAGGCGUUGACGGGUAGCCGACCUGAGAGGGUGACCGGCCACACUGGGACUGAGACACUGCCCAGACUCCUACGGGAGGCUGCAGUCGAGAAUCAUUGUCAAUGCACGAAAGUGUGAACAUGCGACGCCGCGUGGAGGACGAAUGCCUUCGGGUUGUAAACUCCUGUCCUGAGGGAGUAAGUGUACGACGGCUAAUACCCGCUGUACUUGAUAGUACCUCAGAAGAAAGUCACGGCUAACUCUGUGCCAGCAGCCGCGGUAAUACAGAGGUGGCAAGUGUUGUUCGGAUUUACUGGGCGUAAAGGGUUCGCAGGCGGUCCUGUGUGUCAGAUGUGAAAAUCCACAGCUUAACUGUGGAACUGCAUUUGAAACUACAGGACUCGAGUACAGCAGGGGAGAGGGGAAUUCAUGGUGUAGCGGUGAAAUGCGUAGAUAUCAUGAAGAACACCGGCGGCGAAAGCGCCUCUCUGGGCUGAUACUGACGCUCAUGGACGAAAGCCGGGGGAGCGAAGAGGAUUAGAUACCCUCGUAGUCCCGGCCAUAAACGGUGUGCACUUGAUGUGGGAGGAUUACCCCCUUCCGUGUCGG